CUAGAGUGGUCAGCUGACUCUCUCAGCCAAUCGCUAAUUCCUGGUUCCUAAAAAUGUUUUACUUUUUUAUGAAUGGGGAGCUACUGAUUGGCUUAGAGUGCUAGAUGACAGCUCUAGCCAAUCAGCGACACCCCUACCCAGCGCCACUCUGUGUUUCCUGACAAUCAGUAAAUAAAAUUGAACACAGUAACACUGAUAUUUUUUUUUUACCUGGCGAUAUGAGAAGGUCCAAAGUUUCCCUGCCAGGCCCAGGUACCAAAGCAUUAUGAUGUGGUGUCCAGAAUAAAGUGGAGGGUUCACUUGUCCUUCCUGCUGCAAUCUCCUUUUCUUCUCCUUCAUUUGACACAGUCUUCUUUUUCUUCUGACACUGUCUUCUCUCCUUCUGCUGCUUUACCUUUCUGCUACUUUCUGCUUAUUUUGCGCCCUUCUCCUCCUUUCUCUUUCUGAUCCCUUUCUGCUCCUUCUCCUACUUUACCUUUGUGCUCCUUCUGAUUAUUUCUGCUCCUUCUGUCC